GAACGGUAACAGGAAGCAGCUUGCUGCUUGGCUGACGAGUGGCGGACGGGUGAGUAAUGUCUGGGAAACUGCCUGAUGGAGGGGGAUAACUACUGGAAACGGUAGCUAAUACCGCAUAACGUCGCAAGACCAAAGAGGGGGACCUUAGGGCCUCUUGCCAUCGGAUGUGCCCAGAUGGGAUUAGCUAGUAGGUGGGGUAAAGGCUCACCUAGGCGACGAUCCCUAGCUGGUCUGAGAGGAUGACCAGCCACACUGGAACUGAGACACGGUCCAGACUCCUACGGGAGGCAGCAGUGGGGAAUAUUGCACAAUGGGCGCAAGCCUGAUGCAGCCAUGCCGCGUGUAUGAAGAAGGCCUUCGGGUUGUAAAGUACUUUCAGCGGGGAGGAAGGGAGUAAAGUUAAUACCUUUGCUCAUUGACGUUACCCGCAGAAGAAGCACCGGCUAACUCCGUGCCAGCAGCCGCGGUAAUACGGAGGGUGCAAGCGUUAAUCGGAAUUACUGGGCGUAAAGCGCACGCAGGCGGUUUGUUAAGUCAGAUGUGAAAUCCCCGGGCUCAACCUGGGAACUGCAUCUGAUACUGGCAGGCUUGAGUCUCGUAGAGGGGGGGUAGAAUUCCAGGUGUAGCGGUGAAAUGCGUAGAGAUCUGGAGGAAUACCGGUGGCGAAGGCGGCCCCCUGGACGAAGACUGA
rnacentral:rRNA from 1 species